rnacentral:lncRNA from 1 species
CGAGCUAUCAAGAUGGGACGGCUCGAGGCCAUGUCGUACGGAAGCCUCGAGUAGGUCAGCGUUCCAUGCGGCUAUCGACCCCUACUCUAACAUCUACGCAUGUACCCUAGUCUCUCCUUGGAACUAUAAAAGGAGAGACUCAGGGAUAGAUCAGGGAGAAAACAUAAGAAACCACACUCAUACGUAGUAGAGCUCCACACUUCAGACCACGCUUGUAUUCGCCCCUGUACAAGCACUUAGGUGCAAGAUAAUACAAACUCUCUCCCCCCGCUGGACGUAGGGCCUUCUCUUGCCCGAACCAGGAUAAAUCUUUGUGUCUUCUUGCAUCACCAUCCGGAAAAGGGAGCACGCAUACAAAUUUACUCGUUGGUGUGACCCCCCGGGGGAAAAACACCGACAACUUAAAAAAAAGAAGAGAGAGAAAAGAAAAAAUGAUAGCCCAUGGUCCCUCUAAUAAGCAAUAUGCCAGCAAGAGUUGAUAAAGAUUUUAAUUUUCAAAGUCUUUGAUCUAAGAGUAUGACAUUCCUCUCCUCGAAUCCCGUUUUGAUCAGGCAAUAAAUGCAAAGUGAGUAUGCUUGAGAAUUUUUUGCAAAAUAAAACAACCUCAGUGAGAUAUAUAAAAGAUAAUGAGUGAUCUGAGAGAACCUAUGAGGAUAAAAAGGUAUGCUAAUUUUCUUUAAAAAAAAUUAAAAAAAACUCCAAGUGACAGGAUUGAGAAGAAAGGAUCUUUACUCUUAACCAUAAACAUCCCUGACUAUGGUAUACAGUGAAUUUUUUAACACCCUGCAAAUAUAAAGAAUGUUUUAAAUGUUUACCCCAAAUAUUGUUCUUAACCAUCCUUUCCUCGAGGACGAGUAAAAGCCUAAGUAUGGGGGUAUUUGUUGACGGUUCUUAAAUAUCAAUUUUAAUUAUCAAAUAAACAAGAGAAAGGACCAAUAUGCAACCAACACCUAGAAUUAGGGUUUGAUCUGACAAGAAUUCCAUGAGUUUCGUUGUUUAUCUGUUUCUGCAGAGGGUUAUCAGGAAAUAAGAAAGAAAGGCCCACAUGUUGGGAUUACAUAGAGAUAUCAACGCACCGCGC